rnacentral:rRNA from 2 species
AAAAUUGAGAGUUUGAUCCUGGCUCAGGAUGAACGCUGGCGGCGUGCCUAAUACAUGCAAGUCGAACGAGUUCUGGUUAAGAGUGGCGGUGCUUGCACCAAAGCGAUUAACAAUGGAACGAGUGGCGGACGGGUGAGUAACACGUGGGUAACCUACCCUAUAGCGGGGGAUAACAUUUGGAAACAGAUGCUAAUACCGCAUAACAACAACUAUCACAUGAUAGAUGUUUGAAAGAUGGCGAAAGCUAUCACUAAAGGAUGGACCUGCGGCGUAUUAGUUAGUUGGUAAGGUAACGGCUUACCAAGACGAUGAUACGUAGCCGACUUGAGAGAGUGAUCGGCCACAUUGGGACUGAGACACGGCCCAAACUCCUACGGGAGGCAGCAGUAGGGAAUCUUCCACAAUGGACGAAAGUCUGAUGGAGCAACGCCGCGUGAGUGAAGAAGGGUUUCGGCUCGUAAAACUCUGUUAUUGGAGAAGAAGGAUAAGGUAAGUAACUGUACUUUAUUUGACGGUAACCAACCAGAAAGUCACGGCUAACUACGUGCCAGCAGCCGCGGUAAUACGUAGGUGGCGAGCGUUAUCCGGAAUUAUUGGGCGUAAAGCGAGUGCAGGCGGUUGUAUAAGUCUGAUGUGAAAGCCCUCGGCUCAACCGAGGAAUUGCAUCAGAAACUGUAUAACUUGAGUGCAGAAGAGGAGAGUGGAACUCCAUGUGUAGCGGUGGAAUGCGUAGAUAUAUGGAAGAACACCAGUGGCGAAGGCGGCUCUCUGGUCUGUAACUGACGCUGAGGCUCGAAAGCAUGGGUAGCGAACAGGAUUAGAUACCCUGGUAGUCCAUGCCGUAAACGAUGAGUGCUAAGUGUUGGGAGGUUUCCGCCUCUCAGUGCUGGAGCUAACGCAUUAAGCACUCCGCCUGGGGAGUACGACCGCAAGGUUGAAACUCAAAGGAAUUGACGGGGGCCCGCACAAGCGGUGGAGCAUGUGGUUUAAUUCGAAGCAACGCGAAGAACCUUACCAGGUCUUGACAUCUAGCGCCAAUCCCAGAGAUGGGACGUUUCCUUCGGGAACGCUAAGACAGGUGGUGCAUGGUUGUCGUCAGCUCGUGUCGUGAGAUGUUGGGUUAAGUCCCGCAACGAGCGCAACCCUUAUUACUAGUUGCCAGCAUUAAGAUGGGCACUCUAGUGAGACUGCCGGUGACAAACCGGAGGAAGGUGGGGAUGACGUCAAAUCAUCAUGCCCCUUAUGACCUGGGCUACACACGUGCUACAAUGGGCGGUACAACGAGUUGCGAACUUGUGAAAGUAAGCGAAUCUCUAAAAACCGUUCUCAGUUCGGAUUGUAGGCUGCAACUCGCCUACAUGAAGCUGGAAUCGCUAGUAAUCGUGGAUCAGCAUGCCACGGUGAAUACGUUCCCGGGCCUUGUACACACCGCCCGUCACACCAUGAGAGUUUGUAACACCCAAAGCCGGUGAGGUAACCAUUAAUGGAGCCAGCCGUCUAAGGUGGGAUAGAUGAUUAGGGUGAAGUCGUAACAAGGUAGCCGUAGGAGAACCUGCGGCUGGAUCACCUCCUUUCUAAGGAA